rnacentral:lncRNA from 1 species
CCACGGAUACAGUGGCACAUACACCGGUCUACUCUCCCAGCAGACAGAGGUCCAACAAACCGCAGAGAUGAACGCCAAGCUUGCGCUGCUGCUUCUGGCUGCCCUGGUGGCUGUUGUCUCUGCC